rnacentral:rRNA from 1 species
GUUGUAUAGUCAAGUAAUUAAGUGCAUGUGGUGGAUGCCUUGGCAGUCAGAGGCGAUGAAAGACGUGAUAGCCUGCGAAAAGCUCCGGGGAGGCGGCAAAUAUCCUUUGAUCCGGAGAUGUCUGAAUGGGGGAACCCACCUACUUUAAGGUAGGUAUUGCAACAUGAAUACAUAGUGUUGCAAGGCGAACGAGGGGAAGUGAAACAUCUCAGUACCCUUAGGAAAAGAAAUCAAUUGAGAUUCCCUCAGUAGCGGCGAGCGAACGGGGAUCAGCCCAUUAAGUUAUGUGUGUUUUAGUGGAACGCUCUGGGAAGUGCGAACGUAGAGGGUGAUAUUCCCGUACACGAAAGGGCACACAUAAUGAUGACGAGUAGGGCGAGGCACGUGAAACCUUGUCUGAAUAUGGGGGGACCAUCCUCCAAGGCUAAAUACUCCUGACUGACCGAUAGUGAACCAGUACCGUGAGGGAAAGGCGAAAAGAACCCCUGUGAGGGGAGUGAAAUAGAUCCUGAAACCGCAUGCAUACAAGCAGUGGGAGCACCUUCGUGGUGUGACUGCGUACCUUUUGUAUAAUGGGUCAGCGACUUAUAUUCAGUAGCAAGGUUAACCGUAUAGGGGAGCCGUAGAGAAAUCGAGUCUUAAUAGGGCGUUUAGUUGCUGGGUAUAGACCCGAAACCAGGCGAUCUAUCCAUGAGCAGGUUGAAGGUUGGGUAACACUAACUGGAGGACCGAACCCACUGUCGUUGAAAAGCCAGGGGAUGACUUGUGGAUAGGGGUGAAAGGCUAAUCAAGCCUGGUGAUAGCUGGUUCUCCCCGAAAGCUAUUUAGGUAGCGCCUCGGACGAAUACCAUAGGGGGUAGAGCACUGUUUCGGCUAGGGGGUCAUCCCGACUUACCAAACCGAUGCAAACUCCGAAUACCUAUGAGUACUAUCCGGGAGACAGACUGCGGGUGCUAACGUCCGUAGUCAAGAGGAAAACAAUCCAGACCGCCAGCUAAGGCCCCAAAAUCAUAGUUAAGUGGGAAACGAUGUGGGAAGGCAUAGACAGCUAGGAGGUUGGCUUAGAAGCAGCCACCCUUUAAAGAAAGCGUAAUAGCUCACUAGUCGAGUCGGCCUGCGCGGAAGAUGUAACGGGGCUAAAACUAUGUGCCGAAGCUGCGGAUNNNNNNNNNNNNNNNNNNNNNNNNNNNNNNNNNNNNAUGCUGGAGGUAUCAGAAGUGCGAAUGCUGACGUGAGUAACGACAAAACGGGUGAAAAACCCGUUCGCCGAAAGACCAAGGGUUCCAGUCCAACGUUAAUCGGGGCUGGGUGAGUCGACCCCUAAGGCGAGGCCGAAAGGCGUAGUCGAUGGGAAAAUGGUUAAUAUUCCAUUACUUCUGUGUAAUGCGAUGAGAGGACGGAGAAGGCUAAAUCAGCCUGGCGUUGGUUGUCCAGGUGAAAGGAUGUAGGCAUGUAUCUUAGGCAAAUCCGGGGUACUCUAUGCUGAGAUCUGAUAGCAAGCUGUACUUGUACAGCGAAGUGGUUGAUGCCAUGCUUCCAGGAAAAGUCUCUAAGCUUCAGUUACACAGGAAUCGUACCCGAAACCGACACAGGUGGUCAGGUCGAGUAGACCAAGGCGCUUGAGAGAACUCUGCUGAAGGAACUAGGCAAAAUGGUACCGUAACUUCGGGAGAAGGUACGCUGUUGUUGGUGAUGGAACUCGCUUCCUGAGCUGACGACAGCCGCAGAAACCAGGCCGCUGCAACUGUUUAUUAAAAACAUAGCACUCUGCAAACACGAAAGUGGACGUAUAGGGUGUGAUGCCUGCCCGGUGCUGGAAGGUUAAUUGAUGGGGUUAGCGUAAGCGAAGCUCUUGAUCGAAGCCCCAGUAAACGGCGGCCGUAACUAUAACGGUCCUAAGGUAGCGAAAUUCCUUGUCGGGUAAGUUCCGACCUGCACGAAUGGCAUAAUGAUGGCGGCGCUGUCUCCAGCAGAGGCUCAGUGAAAUCGAAAUCGCUGUGAAGAUGCAGUGUACCCGCGGCUAGACGGAAAGACCCCGUGAACCUUUACUGCAGCUUGACACUGAACUUUGACCUUACUUGUGUAGGAUAGGUGGGAGGCUUUGAAGCUGGAACGCUAGUUCCAGUGGAGCCGUCCUUGAAAUACCACCCUGGUAAUGUUGAGGUUCUAACUCUGUCCCGUGAUCCGGGACGAGGACCGUGUCUGGUGGGUAGUUUGACUGGGGCGGUCUCCUCCUAAAGAGUAACGGAGGAGUACGAAGGUGCGCUCAGCGUGGUCGGAAAUCACGCGUAGAGUAUAAAGGCAAAAGCGCGCUUAACUGCGAGACCCACAAGUCGAGCAGGUACGAAAGUAGGUCUUAGUGAUCCGGUGGUUCUGUAUGGAAGGGCCAUCGCUCAACGGAUAAAAGGUACUCUGGGGAUAACAGGCUGAUACCGCCCAAGAGUUCAUAUCGACGGCGGUGUUUGGCACCUCGAUGUCGGCUCAUCUCAUCCUGGGGCUGAAGCAGGUCCCAAGGGUAUGGCUGUUCGCCAUUUAAAGAGGUACGCGAGCUGGGUUUAGAACGUCGUGAGACAGUUCGGUCCCUAUCUACCGUGGGCGCUGGAAAUUUGAGAGGAUCUGCUCCUAGUACGAGAGGACCAGAGUGGACGAACCUCUGGUGUACCGGUUGUGACGCCAGUCGCAUCGCCGGGUAGCUAUGUUCGGAAGGGAUAACCGCUGAAAGCAUCUAAGCGGGAAGCCUACCUCAAGAUAAGAUUUCCCUAGGACUUUAUGUCCUCUAAAGAGCCGUUCGAGACUAGGACGUUGAUAGGUUGGAUGUGGAAGCAUAGUGAUAUGUGAAGCUGACCAAUACUAAUUGCUCGUGAGGCUUGACUAUACAACACCCAAGCAGUUG